UGGGGAAUAUUGCACAAUGGGCGCAAGCCUGAUGCAGCCAUGCCGCGUGUGUGAAGAAGGCCUUCGGGUUGUAAAGCACUUUCAGCGAGGAGGAAGGUGGUGAGCUUAAUACGCUCAUCAAUUGACGUUACUCGCAGAAGAAGCACCGGCUAACUCCGUGCCAGCAGCCGCGGUAAUACGGAGGGUGCAAGCGUUAAUCGGAAUUACUGGGCGUAAAGCGCACGCAGGCGGUUUGUUAAGUCAGAUGUGAAAUCCCCGGGCUCAACCUGGGAACUGCAUUUGAAACUGGCAAGCUAGAGUCUCGUAGAGGGGGGUAGAAUUCCAGGUGUAGCGGUGAAAUGCGUAGAGAUCUGGAGGAAUACCGGUGGCGAAGGCGGCCCCCCUGGACGAAGACUGACGCUCAGGUGCGAAAGCGUGGGGCAGCAAACAGGAUUAGAUACCCCUGGUAGUCCAGCGCUGUAAACGAUGUCGAUUUGGAGGUUAUGCCCUUGAGGCGUGGCUUCCGGAGCUAACGCGUUAAAUCGA
rnacentral:rRNA from 1 species